CAGCCGCCGCGGUAAUACAGAGGGUGCAAGCGUUAAUCGGAAUUACUGGGCGUAAAGCGUGCGUAGGCGGCUUUUUAAGUCGGAUGUGAAAUCCCUGAGCUUAACUUAGGAAUUGCAUUCGAUACUGGGAAGCUAGAGUAUGGGAGAGGAUGGUAGAAUUCCAGGUGUAGCGGUGAAAUGCGUAGAGAUCUGGAGGAAUACCGAUGGCGAAGGCAGCCAUCUGGCCUAAUACUGACGCUGAGGUACGAAAGCAUGGGGAGCAAACAGGAUUAGAUACCCCUGUAGUCCCUGUCUCUUAUAA
rnacentral:rRNA from 1 species